rnacentral:rRNA from 1 species
UACGAAGGGGGCUAGCGUUGUUCGGAAUUACUGGGCGUAAAGGGCGCGUAGGCUGUGUUGUAAGUCAGGCGUGAAAGGCCCGGGCUCAACCUGGGAAUGGCGCUUGAUACUGCGGCGCUGGAAGGCGGGAGAGGAUGGCGGAAUUCCCAGUGUAGAGGUGAAAUUCGUAGAUAUUGGGAAGAACACCGGUGGCGAAGGCGGCCAUCCGGCCCGCGAUUGACGCUGAGGCGCGAAAGCGUGGGGAGCGAACAGG